UCUGAUCUCAAAUCAGGUAGGACUUACCCGCUGAACUUAAGCA
rnacentral:rRNA from 1 species